CUACAUUUUGUAAAAAGUAAUUCUCCUAGUCUAGAUAAGAUAGUGAGACUAUAUAUAAUGGAUUAAAUGAAGUUUAAUAAGCUUUGUUUCCAAUUUUCCCAUUUUAAUUGCUAUAGCAACCUGAAGCCAAAGUUGGAUCACUGGAUAGAGUAACUGAGCAAUUAAAAGCAACCAUCUUUGUCCUCUGAUAGAAUUAUCCUUGGCCCUUAAGGAAAAAAAAAAAAAAAAAAACAACAAGUAUUUAAAAUAAAUGAAAAUUUGGAACAUGACAAAAAUAUCUUUUUACAUUGAAAAUGGGAAAUUAUACAUUAGUUAGCAUUUAUAUUUCUCCUUUUAAAGUUUAUAGUUGAAAAUAUUCAAAAUGAAUAUUUUAUAUCAACUUUAAACAUAAGAAAUGAGUUAUAACUAAUAUGAAUGAGUGUAUCUCAUAACUAAUAAAUUACUUACAUCUGAUUUCACCCUGACAUAUGAAAAAGAGGAAACAAAAACACAUACCUGUUGUAUCGUUCUUUGCUUUUAAAAAUAAAAUAUCUUGAUUUAUUUUUGAAGUAAUUUUGUUAUAUUUAAGGGACCUUUGAGUUUAAUUUCUCUAACAGGUCAAAUUGUAGAUUAAUCUCUCCUCUGCUCCCUUUCCAAUAUGUGAUUUUUUUCCAUCUUCACAUAGUUUAUUUAAAAUUUGUAAUUUCUGAAACAAUAAAAGGAAAACACA
rnacentral:lncRNA from 10 species